rnacentral:lncRNA from 1 species
ACCUCAACAAGCAUGGAGAAAUCUAUAAAUGAAAAGUAUCCAGAAAGAGCCUUGGCCAGAGAAAGUAAAGGAGACUAAGAGUUACCGACCUAGGCAUAGCAUGCAACCACUCCAGUCUUCACAGCAAUUCUGUGUAGAAAAUGUCACUACCACCGUUUUGUAGGUAAAGAAAUGGAAAGUCAAAGAGAGAUAAAACUUGUCUGAAACCGCCAGACCUGACUGACUUCAGAACAGGGGUGGGAAGGCUGGAGUUGGUAUUGUCACUAAACUGCAAUAGUCCCAUGGGUGGCUCUUGAGUGUGGUGCUCCCAUGAGCAGCUCUGCCCAGGAAGGAAAUGGAAUUGAACCCCAAAGAGGCUGGCUGGGCUGAUCAUGUGAAACAGCACAGGAGGAGUUUCCAGAGACAUGCCUACAAUCGACACUAACAUUGACCCCUGCUGUUAGUACUAGUCAUUACGGUGAAGGAGGUGUUGCACUAUGAAUAUCUGCAGACCCAAGGAUUUCCUUUUAUUGGACACAUAUUACAGACUUGAUGAAUAAUGCUUACUUGUGAGUAGGACUGUGUACAAGGAAAGCAGGGCAAAAAAACAGUAUGUUGGGAUAAAUAGGAUUAAAUAAACCAUAGACUUCUUUCUCUUAUAUGCAAAUUUGAGAAUAACUCACUGGACUUUGUCAGAGGAGGACAAGCCCCAAAGUAAGACGGGAGAUGAGUUUCUGGAAAGAGACCAGUGGGAGACUGCUGCUAAAUCUGGAGCCUCCAAUGUAUAUUGGAUUCCAAAGAGUGAGACAUAAACGGUGUGCUGGCACUGAAGUAGAGACCUGGUUCUUCUUUCCCUCCACUAAAGGCACAACUCUCAAGUCCCUCUCCUAUGACACUUGUAAGAAAAUUAUUAAAUCUCACCCUUUAGUGACUUUGCAAAUUACCUUCCUUAAACAACACACUGGAUGUUUUACCAAGAAUCUUGGGUGACAAGACCCAUGUAAGUAUAGAAGGAUCUGCCCUUCAGCACAGAAUCUGAACCGAUUCUAACCAAACUUUGGUUUUAAUAUCCUCGCUUUUUGCCUACCCUACAUAUUCUCCAAAUUGUGAAAAAGUGGUCUUCUGCGGUCUUUCUGCCACCUCAACUCUGUUGUAAAACUCUCGCUGGUCUACUCUUCCUCUCCAAUGCCUCAAAAUUCUAUUUUCUCCCUUUCUCUUCUAACAAAGCCCACUUUUUAGUGUAGAUCAUCACCUCAGCUAGCCUUUUGUGAGAAAGCCAUUUGGAACAAAUUCACACUCAAGUGUAAAUGACUGAUAGGCCACAACCCUUCUAGAAAUAUCUACUGUCCCAAAGGAAGAUCCUUGUUAACCUAGUGAUUCUCUUAUCAGUGGAAUUUUAGCCAAUCCAUCAAAGGGAAGUGAAGUAAGUCAGCAGAGGGGAAGUGAAGUAAGUCAGACUUGAACAAAGAGAACAGACUUCUGGUUGCCAGAGGUGGGAUGGGGUCGGGGGGAGUGGGUAGAUGGAGUGGGAUUAGCAGAUGCAAACUAGUUUAUAUAGGAUGGAUAAACAAUAAGGUUCUACAGUACAGCACAGGGAACUAUAUUAAAGAUCCUGUGAUAAACCAUAAUGAAAAAGAAUAUAGAAAAGUAUAUAUAUGCAUAACUGAAUCAUUAUGCUGUACAGCAGAAAUUAACACAACACUGUAGAUCAACUAUCCUUCAAUAAAAUGUAAGUAAAAAAAAAAGUCUUUCUCCUA